ensembl:lncRNA
UGUGUAGUAUGGUUGGUGUGUAGUAUGGUUGGUGUGUGGUAUGGUUGGUGUGUAGUAUGGUUGGUGUGUAGUAUGGUUGGUGUGUAGUAUGGUUGGUGUGUAGUAUGGUUGGUGUGUAGUAUGGUUGGUGUGAAGUAUGGUUGGUGUGUAGUAUGGUUGGUGUGUAGUUUGGCAGUCUGCCACACCACACAGGCAGGCUGUUUAUCCUCCAGACAGAAGAGCUUGAAUUUCUCUCCGUGCAGACUGCAGAACAUCUCAAACGUCCUCUGAGUUUCUAGCUGGGACGGUGAGAAGGCCUCACACUGGUUUCUCAAGGCCACGUUAGGAUGAUUUUCACAACCUCUUCCUGUAAAGUGGACAUUCCCAAAGUUCCUUUAGUCUCCUGCAGACAGGCUUUACAGAAGACAGACAGGCUUUUUCGGAAGACAGACAGGCUUUUUCGGAAGACAGACAGGCUUUACAGAAGACAGACAGGCUUUACAGAAGACAGACAGGCUUUUUCGGAAGACAGACAGGCUUUUUCGGAAGACAGACAGGCUUUACAGAAGACAGACAGGCUUUACAGAAGACAGACAGGCUUUACAGAAGACAGACAGGCUUUACAGAAGACAGACAGGCUUUUCGGAAGACAGACAGGCUUUUUCGGAAGACAGACAGGCUUUACAGAAGACAGACAGGCUUUACAGAAGACAGACAGGCUUUACAGAAGACAG